rnacentral:rRNA from 1 species
UGCGUAGGCGGGUCUUUAAGUCAGGGGUGAAAUCCUGGAGCUCAACUCCAGAACUGCCUUUGAUACUGAAGAUCUUGGGUUCGGGAGAGGUGAGUGGAACUGCGAGUGUAGAGGUGAAAUUCGUAGAUAUUCGCAAGAACACCAGUGGCGAAGGCGGCUCACUGGCCCGAUACUGACGCUGAGGCACGAAAGCGUGGGGAGCAAACA